UACGUAGGGUGCAAGCGUUGUCCGGAAUUAUUGGGCGUAAAGAGCUCGUAGGCGGUUUGUCGCGUCGAAUGUGAAAUCCCGGGGCUCAACCCCGGGACUGCAUUCGAUACGGGCAGACUAGAGUUCGGUAGGGGAGUCUGGAAUUCCUGGUGUAGCGGUGAAAUGCGCAGAUAUCAGGAGGAACACCGGUGGCGAAGGCAGGACUCUGGGCCGAUACUGACGCUGAGGAGCGAAGGCGUGGGGAGCAAACAGG
rnacentral:rRNA from 1 species